UUUCCGUAGGUGAACCUGCGGAAGGAUCAUUACAGAGUUCAUGCCCUCACGGGUAGAUCUCCCACCCUUGAAUAUUUAUACCUUAGUUGCUUUGGCAGGCCGUGGAAACACCAUGGGCUCCGGCUUAUGCGAGCCUGCCAGAGGAAACAAACUCUGUUUUUAGUGAUGUCUGAGUACUAUAUAAUAGUUAAAACUUUCAACAACGGAUCUCUUGGUUCUG
rnacentral:misc_RNA from 1 species